GCACUGCUGCCGGGUUCCAAACAGGACGAAACAGCUGUCCAGUGC
rnacentral:hammerhead_ribozyme from 1 species